GCCUCUCUUUCAGGUUCCCAUUGCCAUGGUAUUCAGUAGCCAGUGUAGUACUCCAGCCAGCCAGAUGGACUCCACUCUGUGUGAGGAUCUGGCACGUCUGAAUGAGGCCAAGCUCUGGGGAGCACAUGAGUAGUACCCCCACCCAGAAGAGGAGCAGUGUCCCUCUCAGAGCCCCUGGCCUGGAACCCGGGCUGGAGCCUCAAUACGCACAGUCCCACGAAUGGAGAAGCCAGGCCUUCCUUAGACCAUCUGCUUUCCCUUAUUAGUUGGAGACAGAGCCACUGUAGGCUCAGUCUUAUCCUUUGAGUCCCUGUUUAUAACUAACAGUCGACCAUGAAUUGAAGUCAGAGCCAGUAUCCAAGGCAGGAACCCAGGGGCAGGAGCUGAGGAGGCCAUGGAGGAACACUGCUUGCUGGCUUACUCCUCAGGCUGACAUCCAGGUGAACAGCAGCGAGAUGAGAGAGGAGCCUAUCUCAAGCCAGCAGCCUGCCUGUGGCAUUCCCCAGCCUCCUCACCCCCUGACUCCAGUGUCUGCAGUUCUGCUAUUUCACACCCCCAUCCCGCCCCAAUAUCCUGCUCCUGAGUCAGCCUCCAGGGAGUUCAGGGUCUGGCCCAGCCCCCCUGCUUGCCCCUGGCCAAAGGUUCUGUAGCCACACCAGGACUUCAUGGAGCUGCAUGUCCCUUCAGGGUUGACACAUCCCUUGUGCCAUGUAGUAUCAUCAUUAUACAGCAUUCCAAAGC
rnacentral:lncRNA from 1 species